rnacentral:tRNA from 1 species
GCCAAGGUGGCUCAGCCGGCAGAGCAGCGCACUCGUAAUGCGCAGGUCCCGGGUUCGAUUCCCGGUCUUGGCU